UGACAGAAGCCAUCGUCCGCACA
rnacentral:piRNA from 1 species